rnacentral:rRNA from 1 species
UACGGGGGGGGCAAGCGUUGUUCGGAAUUAUUGGGCGUAAAGGGCGCGUAGGCGGCUUUUCAAGUGGCGGGUGAAAUCCCUCGGCUUAACCGAGGAACUGCCUGCCAGACUGGAAGGCUUGAGACCGGGAGAGGUGAGUGGAAUUCCCAGUGUAGCGGUGAAAUGCGUAGAUAUUGGGAGGAACACCAGUGGCGAAGGCGGCUCACUGGCCCGGUACUGACGCUGAGGUGCGAAAGCGUGGGGAGCA